AUUGAACGCUGGCGGCAGGCCUAACACAUGCAAGUCGAACGAGUGGCGGACGGGUGAGUAAUGUCUGGGAAACUGCCUGAUGGAGGGGGAUAACUCCUGGAAACGGUAGCUAAUACCGCAUACCAUCAGAUGUGCCCAGAUGGGAUUUGCUAGUUGGUGGGGGAACGGCUCACCAAGGCCACGAUCCCUAGCUGGUCUGAGAGGGUGACCAGCCACACGGGAACGGAGACACGGUCCAGACUCCUAGGGGAGGCAGAAGUGGGGAAUAUUGCACAAGGGGCGCAAGCCGGAUGCAGCCAUGCCGCUUGUAUGAAGAAGGCCUUCGGGUUGUAAAGUACUUUCAGCGGGGAGGCGUUACCCGCAGAAAAAACACCGGCUAACUCCGUGCCAGCAGCCGCGGUAAUAC
rnacentral:rRNA from 1 species